rnacentral:Y_RNA from 1 species
GGCUGGUCCAAUGGUAGAGGGGUAUCAGAACUUAUUAACAUUAGUGUCACUAAAGUUGGUAUACAACCCCCCACUGCUAGAUUUGACUGGCUUAAA